rnacentral:rRNA from 1 species
GGUCAAGCUACAAAGGGCUCACGGCGGAUACCUUGGCACACAGAGGCGAUGAAGGACGUGGUUACCUGCGAUAAGUCUCGGGGAGCUGGAAACACGCUUUGAUCCGGGAAUUUCCGAAUGGGGCAACCCCUUGUACGGCCAGCUGAAUACAUAGGCUGGCGCGAGCCAACCCAGCGAACUGAAACAUCUUAGUAGCUGGAGGAAAGGAAAGUAAAAACGACUCCCUC